rnacentral:lncRNA from 1 species
AUUGCCUAGUUAAGGGGUAGGCUUGGGCAGUGGACUGACUUGUUUCAUGAAGUUACUAGGUGAGCAACUUUAGGAAUGAUAGUUCUUGUGCUCGUUAAGUCAAGUAGUACUGUUAUAGUGUAAUCCCUAGUUAAGAGAGAAAAGAUGCUAUGUGAUUGCCCCAACUAGUAAUUUCGUAGUUUCAUAAGUAGUAGUAGCAAGAAGUAUAGUUGCCGGGGAGCAAGUAGUAGAGUAUGGUUUACAGGAAGAGUAGAAAGGUAGAGAAUAGAGUUGACAGUCCAGGUUGCCAGCCCCAACUAGUAGUUUCAUAGUUAAGAGCUUCUUUGGAGCAAGUUGUAGAGUAGAGGUUUCGUUUCCAGCAGCCAGUUUCCGAGGGGUAUCGUUGCCUGAGGUACAUUAGAGUCCAGGGCUAGUUCCAGCAGUGAUAAAGUCUGGUGAGAAGAG